AUUGAACGCUGGCGGCAGGCUUAACACAUGCAAGUCGAGCGGAGCGAGGGUGCUUGCACCUUAGCUUAGCGGCGGACGGGUGAGUAAUGCUUAGGAAUCUGCCUAUUAGUGGGGGACAACAUUCCGAAAGGAAUGCUAAUACCGCAUACGCCCUACGGGGGAAAGCAGGGGAUCUUCGGACCUUGCGCUAAUAGAUGAGCCUAAGUCGGAUUAGCUAGUUGGUGGGGUAAAGGCCUACCAAGGCGACGAUCUGUAGCGGGUCUGAGAGGAUGAUCCGACACACUGGGACUGAGCAACGGCCCAGACUCCUACGGGAGGCAGCAGUGGGGAAUAUUGGACAAUGGGCGGAAGCCUGAUCCAGCCAUGCCGCGUGUGUGAAGAAGGCCUUUUGGUUGUAAAGCACUUUAAGCGAGGAGGAGGCUACUUAGAUUAAUACUCUGGGAUAGUGGACGUUACUCGCAGAAUAAGCACCGGCUAACUCCGUGCCAGCAGCCGCCGUAACAC
rnacentral:rRNA from 1 species